UACGAAGGGGGCUAGCGUUGCUCGGAAUUACUGGGCGUAAAGGCGCGUAGGCGGCACUGUUAGUCAGGCGUGAAAGUCCUGGGCUCAACCUGGGAACUGCGCUUGAUACGGCAGAGCUAGAGGAUGGAAGAGGCUCGCGGAAUUCCCAGUGUAGAGGUGAAAUUCGUAGAUAUUGGGAAGAACACCGGUGGCGAAGGCGGCGAGCUGGUCCAUUACUGACGCUGAGGCACGAAAGCGUGGGGAGCAAACAGG
rnacentral:rRNA from 1 species